rnacentral:rRNA from 1 species
AGAGUUUGAUCCUGGCUCAGGAUGAACGCUAGCUACAGGCUUAACACAUGCAAGUCGAGGGGCAUCAGGAAGAAAGCUUGCUUUCUUUGCUGGCGACCGGCGCACGGGUGAGUAACACGUAUCCAACCUGCCCUUUACUCGGGGAUAGCCUUUCGAAAGAAAGAUUAAUACCCGAUAGCAUAAUGAUUCCGCAUGGUUUCAUUAUUAAAGGAUUCCGGUAAAGGAUGGGGAUGCGUUCCAUUAGGUUGUUGGUGAGGUAACGGCUCACCAAGUCUUCGAUGGAUAGGGGUUCUGAGAGGAAGGUCCCCCACAUUGGAACUGAGACACGGUCCAGACUCCUACGGGAGGCAGCAGUGAGGAAUAUUGGUCAAUGGGCGCUAGCCUGAACCAGCCAAGUAGCGUGAAGGAUGAAGGCUCUAUGGGUCGUAAACUUCUUUUAUAUAAGAAUAAAGUGCAGUAUGUAUACUGUUUUGUAUGUAUUAUAUGAAUAAGGAUCGGCUAACUCCGUGCCAGCAGCCGCGGUAAUACGGAGGAUCCGAGCGUUAUCCGGAUUUAUUGGGUUUAAAGGGAGCGUAGGUGGACUGGUAAGUCAGUUGUGAAAGUUUGCGGCUCAACCGUAAAAUUGCAGUUGAUACUGUCAGUCUUGAGUACAGUAGAGGUGGGCGGAAUUCGUGGUGUAGCGGUGAAAUGCUUAGAUAUCACGAAGAACUCCGAUUGCGAAGGCAGCUCACUGGACUGCAACUGACACUGAUGCUCGAAAGUGUGGGUAUCAAACAGGAUUAGAUACCCUGGUAGUCCACACAGUAAACGAUGAAUACUCGCUGUUUGCGAUAUACAGUAAGCGGCCAAGCGAAAGCAUUAAGUAUUCCACCUGGGGAGUACGCCGGCAACGGUGAAACUCAAAGGAAUUGACGGGGGCCCGCACAAGCGGAGGAACAUGUGGUUUAAUUCGAUGAUACGCGAGGAACCUUACCCGGGCUUAAAUUGCAGUGGAAUGAUGUGGAAACAUGUCAGUGAGCAAUCACCGCUGUGAAGGUGCUGCAUGGUUGUCGUCAGCUCGUGCCGUGAGGUGUCGGCUUAAGUGCCAUAACGAGCGCAACCCUUAUCUUUAGUUACUAACAGGUUAUGCUGAGGACUCUAGAGAGACUGCCGUCGUAAGAUGUGAGGAAGGUGGGGAUGACGUCAAAUCAGCACGGCCCUUACGUCCGGGGCUACACACGUGUUACAAUGGGGGGUACAGAAGGCAGCUAGCGGGUGACCGUAUGCUAAUCCCAAAAGCCUCUCUCAGUUCGGAUCGAAGUCUGCAACCCGACUUCGUGAAGCUGGAUUCGCUAGUAAUCGCGCAUCAGCCACGGCGCGGUGAAUACGUUCCCGGGCCUUGUACACACCGCCCGUCAAGCCAUGGGAGCCGGGGGUACCUGAAGUACGUAACCGCAAGGAUCGUCCUAGGGUAAAACUGGUGACUGGGGCUAAGUCGUAACAAGGUAGCCGUACCGGAAGGUGCGGCUG